CGGCCAUAUCACGUUGAAACACCGGUUCCUGUACGGUCACCAAAGUAAAGUAACAUCGAACCUGGUCAGAACCUAGAUGGGUGACCGCUUGGGAAUAACAAGUGUUGUAA